UACGUAGGGUGCAAGCGUUGUCCGGAAUUAUUGGGCGUAAAGAGCUCGUAGGCGGUUUGUCGCGUCUGGUGUGAAAAUCCAGGGCUUAACCCUGGACCUGCAUCGGGUACGGGCAGACUAGAGUGCGGUAGGGGAGAUCGGAAUUCCUGGUGUAGUGGUGAAAUGCGCAGAUAUCAGGAGGAACACCGGUGGCGAAGGCGGAUCUCUGGGCCGUAACUGACGCUGAGGAGCGAAAGCAUGGGGAGCGAACAGG
rnacentral:rRNA from 1 species